rnacentral:rRNA from 1 species
GACGAACCGUGCGAACGUUGUUCGGAAUCACUGGGCUUAAAGGGCGCGUAGGCGGUCUGCCAGGUCGGGGUUGAAAUCUUUCGGCCCAACCGGAAAAGCGGCUUCGAUACCGGCAGGCUUGAGGGGGGUAGGGGCGGACGGAACUCCCGGUGGAGCGGUGAAAUGUGUUGAUAUCGGAAGGAACGCCGGUGGCGAAAGCGGUCCGCUGGACCCCCACUGACGCUGAGGCGCGAAAGCCAGGGUAGCGAACGGG